rnacentral:rRNA from 1 species
UCUACAGGCUUAACACAUGCAAGUCGAGGGGCAGCAUUUUAGUUUGCUUGCAAACUGAAGAUGGCGACCGGCGCACGGGUGAGUAACACGUAUCCAACCUGCCGAUAACUCCGGAAUAGCCUUUCGAAAGAAAGAUUAAUACCGGAUAGCAUACGAAUAUCGCAUGAUAUUUUUAUUAAAGAAUUUCGGUUAUCGAUGGGGAUGCGUUCCAUUAGUUUGUUGGCGGGGUAACGGCCCACCAAGACUACGAUGGAUAGGGGUUCUGAGAGGAAGGUCCCCCACAUUGGAACUGAAACACGGUCCAAACUCCUACGGGAGGCAGCAGUGAGGAAUAUUGGUCAAUGGGCGAGAGCCUGAACCAGCCAAGUAGCGUGAAGGAUGAAGGCUCUAUGGGUCGUAAACUUCUUUUAUAUGGAAAUAAAGUUUUCCACGUGUGGAAUUUUGUAUGUACCAUAUGAAUAAGGAUCGGCUAACUCCGUGCCAGCAGCCGCGGUAAUACGGAGGAUCCAAGCGUUAUCCGGAUUUAUUGGGUUUAAAGGGAGCGUAGGUGGAUUGUUAAGUCAGUUGUGAAAGUUUGCGGCUCAACCGUAAAAUUGCAGUUGAAACUGGCAGUCUUGAGUACAGUAGAGGUGGGCGGAAUUCGUGGUGUAGCGGUGAAAUGCUUAGAUAUCACGAAGAACUCCGAUUGCGAAGGCAGCUCACUAGACUGUCACUGACACUGAUGCUCGAAAGUGUGGGUAUCAAACAGGAUUAGAUACCCUGGUAGUCCACACAGUAAACGAUGAAUACUCGCUGUUUGCGAUAUACAGUAAGCGGCCAAGCGAAAGCAUUAAGUAUUCCACCUGGGGAGUACGCCGGCAACGGUGAAACUCAAAGGAAUUGACGGGGGCCCGCACAAGCGGAGGAACAUGUGGUUUAAUUCGAUGAUACGCGAGGAACCUUACCCGGGCUUAAAUUGCAACAGAAUAUAUUGGAAACAGUAUAGCCGUAAGGCUGUUGUGAAGGUGCUGCAUGGUUGUCGUCAGCUCGUGCCGUGAGGUGUCGGCUUAAGUGCCAUAACGAGCGCAACCCUUAUCUUUAGUUACUAACAGGUCAUGCUGAGGACUCUAGAGAGACUGCCGUCGUAAGAUGUGAGGAAGGUGGGGAUGACGUCAAAUCAGCACGGCCCUUACGUCCGGGGCUACACACGUGUUACAAUGGGGGGUACAGAAGGCGGCUACCUGGUGACAGGAUGCUAAUCCCAAAAACCUCUCUCAGUUCGGAUCGAAGUCUGCAACCCGACUUCGUGAAGCUGGAUUCGCUAGUAAUCGCGCAUCAGCCAUGGCGCGGUGAAUACGUUCCCGGGCCUUGUACACACCGCCCGUCAAGCCAUGAAAGCCGGGGGUACCUGAAGUACGUAACCGCAAGGAGCGUCCUAGGGUAAAACUGGUAAUUGG